UACGUAGGCAGCGAGCGUUGUUCGGAGUUACUGGGCGUAAAGCGUGCGUAGGCGGUUUUGUAAGUUUGGUGUGAAAUCUCCCGGCUCAACUGGGAGGGUGCGCCGAAAACUGCAAGGCUGGAGUAUGGGAGAGGUAGGCGGAAUUCCCGGUGUAGCGGUGAAAUGCGUAGAGAUCGGGAAGAACAUCGGUGGCGAAAGCGCUCUACUGGGGCCAU
rnacentral:rRNA from 1 species